GAAAUCACAUGAGUCAUGCUUUAUGUUGGUGAUUGUGAUAACGUAAGGGAAAAAAAUGAUAUUACCUUACUAUUAGUGUUGUCCAAAACUGGUGCCAGAAGACUCGGUAAGGCCAGAGACGCGAACGUUAGUCGUCCUAAUCAGGCGUAAAGGGUGUGUAGGCUGCUUUAAAAGUUAGAUCUUUCAAAUAGCUCUUAAUAUUGGCUAUAUUAAUAAAAAAUAAUUUUAUUAAUAUCCGUAUUAAGGUAAAGAUAUGAUUAAUUAAAGCUAGGAUCAAAACGAGGAUAAGCCAAAUAAUACUUAGAGUAGGGAUUAUAUCCGUAGAUACUAAGGGGAAUACUAAAGGUGAAAGCUUUUUAUCUAGUAAUGAUUGACGCUGAGAAACGAAGGUGAGAAUAGGAAAUAGGAUUAGAUACCCAGAUACCUCUCACUGUCAACGAUGAAUGGUGGUUGUUAGUUUUAUUAAAACUGGUAACGAUGUUAACACGAUAACCAUUCCGCCUUGCGAGUACGGUUGCAAAACUGAAACCAAAAAAAUUA
rnacentral:rRNA from 1 species